AUUGAACGCUGGCGGCAGGCUUAACACAUGCAAGUCGAGCGGAGAGAGGUAGCUUGCUACUGAUCUUAGCGGCGGACGGGUGAGUAAUGCUUAGGAAUCUGCCUAUUAGUGGGGGACAACAUUUCGAAAGGAAUGCUAAUACCGCAUACGCCCUACGGGGGAAAGCAGGGGAUCUUCGGACCUUGCGCUAAUAGAUGAGCCUAAGUCGGAUUAGCAAGUUGGUGGGGUAAAGCCCACCAAGGCGACGAUCAGUAGCUGGUCUGAGAGGACGAUCGGCCACACUGGGACUAAAACACGGCCCAGGCUCCUACGGAAGGCAGAAGUGGGGAAUUUUGAAAAAUGGGGGCAACCCUGUUCCACCAAUGCCGCGUGAGUGAAGAAGGCCUUCGGGUUGUAAAGCUCUUUUGUCAGGGAAGAAACACCGGCUCCAACACAGUCCGGGAAUGACGGUACCUGAAGAAUAAGCACCGGCUAACUACGUGCCAGCCGCCGCCGUAACAC
rnacentral:rRNA from 1 species